UUGAAACUCUAUCGGUGCGCUGUCUAGCUAGUAACCGUUCUCGUUUCAUUCGUGACUUUUAAUUGUGACUAUAUUUGAAGAGUUAGUUUGAGAAGAUUAUACUGCAAAGAAAGCUGGAAAGAUAACAGAAAACUAGAAACAAAAAAUUGUCUAUGACGAAUUGGUGAAGCGAUGAAAAAUAAAUGAGCUUUGUGACAAAUUCAAACAUUCUAAUUCAAUGUAAGUGUUUAUACAAUUAAUGUGAUUCAAUGUAAAUAUUAUUAAAAAAUGAAAUAGUGAGGAGAAAGGCAGCAUACAAUAGCUGUGCAGUUAAAAACAAAAAUGUUUGUGUCUAGUAUCAAUGAUGGAUUGAUCUGCGAGUUCGAAGAUAGAGCAGUCAGGACAAUACUUGAAUUGAGGAUAAAUCUCUGUUUAACCAUAAAAAUAUUGUACCGUAGUUCACGAUUCUCUUCUCUAAUCACUUCUCUCACUGUGCCGCUUUCUUCGAUCUUCUCUGUUUCAUUAUAAUCAGACUUUUCCACAACGCUUGCUUGUAUAUGGGAAAAACAGAUAUUUUUUCGAAAAAACAAAAAAAAAAUUUAGACUAUAAACGAUAAAAGAUUAAAAUGGAGACAAACCAAAUCUCAAUAACAAAAUUAAAUAGUUAUAAAAAAAAUUGAAUAAUAAUUUUUCUUUGGAAAAAGGAUCUGUAUGUAUGGUUCGCUAUAUGCAUCAUAGUCUGCGACAAAUUGGCGAAAUGCCGUGAACUAGAUUCAUGCUUAACGAAUAAUUAUAAACGAAUUCGUUUAAGAUAGUGGCUAAACUUAGGCAUCAGCUAGCGAGCACAAAGUUCGCGGUCAAUCGAAUUCAAGCAAUUCAAGGUGAACCGAUAACCCCGACAUCAAGAACGAGGGCGUGUUAGUAAUAUAUUUUCUUACCAACAAAUCCACAGCUGAUAUUCAGCUCAACGAACAAUUAUCAACGCCAAUGAAUAAGCGUGUCGACGAAAAGAGAGCAAUUCUCGAUUAGAUGAAAAAGGAAAGAUGAAAAGAAA